AUUGAACGCUGGCGGCAGGCCUAACACAUGCAAGUCGAACGAGUGGCGGACGGGUGAGUAAUGUCUGGGAAACUGCCUGAUGGAGGGGGCUAACUACUGGAAACGGUAGCUAAUACCGCAUACCAUCGGAUGUGCCCAGAUGGGAUUAGCUAGUAGGUGGGGUAAAGUCUCACCUAGGCGACGAUCCCUAGCUGGUCUGAGAGGAUGACCAGACACAUGGGAACUGAGAGACGGUCCAGACGCCGACGGGAGGCAGCAGGGGGGAAUAUUGCACAAUGGGCGCAAGCUGGAUGCAGCCAUGCCGAGUGUAUGAAGAAGGCCUUCGGGUUGUAAAGUACUUUCAGCGGGGAGGCGUUACCCGCAGAAGAAGCACCGGCUAACUCCGUGCCAGCCGCCGCGGUAAUUC
rnacentral:rRNA from 1 species